UACAGAGGUCUCAAGCGUUGUUCGGAUUCAUUGGGCGUAAAGGGUGCGUAGGCGGCGCGGUAAGUCGGGUGUGAAAUCUCGGAGCUUAACUCCGAAACUGCAUUCGAUACUGCCGUGCUUGAGGACUGGAGAGGAGACUGGAAUUUACGGUGUAGCGGUGAAAUGCGUAGACAUCGUAAGGAAGACCAGUGGCGAAGGCGGGUCUCUGGACAGUUCCUGACGCUGAGGCACGAAGGCCAGGGGAGCAAACGGG
rnacentral:rRNA from 1 species